UCCGUGGUAGUCUAGUGGUUAAGAUUAUGAGCUCCCAAUGCAGGGGAUCUGGGUUUGAUCCCUAGUCAGGGAA
rnacentral:tRNA from 1 species